rnacentral:rRNA from 1 species
CCUACGGGGGGCAGCAGUGAGGAAUAUUGGUCAAUGGCCGAAAGUCUGAACCAGCCAAGUCGCGUGCAGGAAGACGGCUCUACGAGUUGUAAACCUCUUUUGUCCGGGAGUAAACCCAGACACGUGUGACUCUUUGAGAGUAUCCUAAGAAUAAGCAUCGGCUAACUCCGUGCCAGCAGCCGCGGUAAUACGGAGGAUUCGAGCGUUAUCCGGAUUUAUUGGGUUUAAAGGGUGCGCGGGCGGAGGUGAAAGUUAGAGGUCAAAUUGCGGGGCUCAACCCCGUACUGCCGUUGAAACUGCUAGCCUGGAGUGUAGGUGAGGUAGGCGGAAUGUGUGGUGGAGCGGUGAAAUGCAUAGAGAUCACGCAGAACACCGAUUGCGAAGGCAGCAUACCG